CGGCGCCUUCUUCCCGCGAAUCGUGGCUCAGGAGUCCCGCGGGCAGGACGUCGCCCCUGUGUGUCCCCGCUGUGUCCUCACUGCCCCGCCAGGAGCCGGCUUCACUGGCUGCCCCCAGUCACCCCGAGCACGGUGUCCGUCAGGGACUGGGCAGUGCCCUCCGGCCCGUCUUUCACGGGAGAAGCGCUGGACGGAGGAGGACAUGGUGGUUUUCCCGGAGACGCUCUCCUCACCCUUGCGCGCCCCCAGUCCGCCCUCCCUUUCCCUCCGGCCUGGUCCUCAGGGUCGUCGGUCCCUGCUGGGCAGCCGGGCGCACACGCGAGAGCCACACUGCUAUUCUGCAGCAGGAAACAGAAGUACACGGACGGCCACACACGGAGCGUGAGAGGCCCCUUGUUACAGAGGCCAGGGACCAGGCCCUGGGCUUGGGGUUGAAGGUGGGGCCGAGGUGGGGCGCACAGGAAGCAGAGUGGACGGAGCCCAGCGGGCUUGGGGCUGCUCCCCAGGUGGCCCAUGUUCCACCCAGAAGCACGAGGAGGAACCCAGGGUGGACUCUGCAGGUUUCUCCUCCUUCCUCACACGUUUGGUUACUGUUUUCCGCUUUGUUACUGUGUUGUCCUCCUCCCCCGCACUGUGACUUUGUUGCUGGUCUCCCCCAGGGCAGAGGUGUGCCCUUCCAGCCUGGACUCCAGUAGCACCUUUGUCACCACACCCACUCCCCUGGGGAGCCCAAAAUAGCAUGUUGCUCUCUUAAGUCCCUCAGCUGUCCUCUCCCCGGUUCUUUGUGUCCUCAUUGUUUUUCCUUUAUUCACAGGUAAAGUAUUCUUAUUUUUCAGAAAACCAGUGUUCUUUUCUUGGCCAUGCUGUGGGCCCUUGCCUGCAUUUGUCGCCCUGGCAGGAAGAGCCCUGGAGGCCCCAUGGGGUGACAAGCCACUCCCAGAGGGAACCCCACUUUGAGAACCUCUAUGUGAAUUGAAUCUUGGCUCCACUCCCUGUUGACUAUGAAAGUUGAUGAAUGUCUCUUAAGUUUCAGAAGGACAGUAUCAUGAGAACCAUGGUCACCCCCAGGCCACUGCACCUUGAGAGGACAUGGCAGGUGUUUCUCUGAGGCUGCUUCCACAGCCAGGUCUCAAUGAGGCCAUGGAGCCACCCAGGCGGGACUGAAGGGGAUCCUUUUCCACUGAAAUGGAACUAGGUUCUCCACCAGGCCUCUAAGUGGCGCAGAGGACAGAGGAAGACCCCCAGCCUCUCAGCCAGACAUCAGCAGUUCAGAUGCCCCAGACGCAGCGAGAUAAGCCCCCUACCUGCCCGGGGUCGAGCGGAAGCAGUGCCUCUGGGCAGCACAGGCCACGGACUCGUUCGUCCACAGGAGGGGGCCACCUCCUGCAAAUCCGCACAGUGACACGUGGACUGCGCAGUGACCCCAAACCCAGAGCUGAUGGCCGCGGCCUGCACUGAGGAAUGCCAGGGCACCUCUCAUCGGUGAAGGUGGAAAGUCUCACCUGUAAGUCUUCACCAGCUUGUCCGCGUACGCAUACGUGGGUAAGCUGUCAAGAAUCUGCUCCACACAGGCGCCGAUGUGGCUCUCGGGGAUGCCCUGGAUCUGGGCGUACACCACCAGCGUCUCCCGGCCCGUCAUGUGGUUGAACAGGGCGUCAAACUGGGGGCAGUAGCCUACCCACUGCCGCACCUGGGGUUGGAAUGCAGCCCAAGAGGGAG